GUGACAUGACUAACGAUCAUGUCAGCGAUAAUGAUGGAAUGCGCGAUCGGAAUUUUUGUCCGACCGCACAACCAACCGGUCCGCAAAAUGGCCGCCGGGUGUCUCUGGCGAGACGCGCAUGCGCGGCGGAGCGGGAGUCCAACCGCCCGCGAAAAUGAUCGUUUGGUGCACUAAUGGGCGAAAGCAGAUAAUGUGCAGUAGCACAGGGAAGGACAAUGUAUUGGGUGUAUAUAUGUACAAUAUGUAUGUGGAAUUGCAGGGAAUCUGGUGUAAUAUAAAAUAAGCAAACACAAUACUAAGGUUAAAAUUUAAAGGUACCACUAAAAAUAAGAAUGAGCAUUUAAAGGUACAGUAAGAUAAAAACAUCAAAUGUAACAGAAAACAAGUAGCAUAUGAAGCAAUCACAGGAGAAUUGUGAGAGGUGUACUUAUCUGAGGGAGCAGCAAAGAAAGAGGAAAUGGUCAUCCGAUGCUCCGCCUACUAUAGGAGAAGGAUGUCACUGAU